UUUUCACAUCCCAUCGAUGUUGUGAUGUUCACGAUCCCUGUUUUAUUUUUCCAAAUUUUUUCCAUCUUUUUACAAACUUGAUCAUUUUCAGUCCGAGCUAAAUCUAAGUUACAAUCUGUAAUCUCUUGCAACUUCAGUCAUUAUUUUUAAUAGCGCUUUAUCGCCCUUAUCAAAAGCCUCGCUUCUCGAGCAACUUAUUUUUCGUUUCAGAGUUACAGUUCUCGAGCUACAGAGCAAGAGUCAACUUGCUGGGUAACCUCCGGAUGCCUCGGCCGCGUUGUUAUUUUGUGCCAUACAAUGACUUCGAGGAUGAUCCAGUUUUGUACCUUGGAUUCUAAUAUUUUUGGUGAUGUAAUUUUAUUUUCUUUUAUAUUUUGUCCCCUUUUUCCGUGCCUUCAGCACCUUAAAUUUCAAUUAUUAAAUUCUGUCCAUUUGAAACGCA